GGGGAUAUGGCUCAGUUGGAAGAGUUUGUGCCUCACAUGCACAAGGCCCUGGGUUCAAUCCCCAGCACUGCCC
rfam:Ictidomys tridecemlineatus contig066372, whole genome shotgun sequence.